CUGAAUGCUGGGAGGAAGAAAGGCAGAGUUAGAGAGACACCAUGGAUCUACGGCUGGAGAUGGACGUCCUGGAACUUUGCUGGUCCUAGAUCCCACAGCUGUGAGAUCGUUGAUGGGGAAGGAUGGCAGUCGGAGUCUGAAUCGGAUGGAAGCUCUCCUGAAACAGAAAUUUUCUAGAACAUUCUCAGAGGAACAGGACUAGAUCAGAAGAAGAUGGUGGCAACCACACAGUCAUGGUCUGCACGUGUUGAAAAGGGGGAAGAUACCUGGUGAUGUCCUGUAGAUCCUGUGACAUACAGCACAGACCUGGUGAUGUCCUGUAGAUCCUGUGACAUACAACACAGACCCGGUGAUGUCCUGUAGAUCCCGUGCCAAUACAGAAGGGAAGUAGGCCAGAGCUGUGUUUAAAACUGUAUUUAGAUCAUGAUGAAAGCACAAAUAUCAGUGUGAGAGGGGGCAGGGAGAGUGACAUCCUUGGGUAGAGACAAUAAGAACAAAAUCUGGGAGCUGGAAACGCAGAGAAAUGCUUGCCACAGCAUGAGGGUCUGAGCUCUGAGCCCCAAGGAAAAAGCUAGAUAAGGUGGCAAGGAGGUGCCAGAAAUUUGAGUUAGGGAGAAAGAGCCAAGAGACUCCCUGGGACUCACCAGUCAGCUCAGCUAGCCUUGUGAACUGGUUAGCUCCCUGUUCAGAGAGAGACCUUCACACACACACACACACACACACACACACACACACACACACA